rnacentral:misc_RNA from 1 species
CAGUUCAGAUCGUAGGCUGCAACUCGCCUACGUGAAGUAGGAAUCGCUAGUAAUCGCAGGUCAGCAUACUGCGGUGAAUACGUUCCCGGGCCUUGUACACACCGCCCGUCACACCAUGGAAGUUGGCCAUGCCCGAAGUCGUUACUCCAACCCUUGUGGGGGAGGACGCCGAAGGUGGGGCUAAUGACUGGGGUGAAGUCGUAACAAGGUAGCCGUACCGGAAGGUGCGGCUGGAUCACCUCCCAACAGGGAGACAACAAAAUGUUUAAUAUUAUUAUUUUGUCACCUUAGGUCGAUCGGUAUCUCACGUUCUUAAUUUAUUAAGGAUUUCAUUUUCUAAGUUUUUCUAGGUCACACCCAUUAUUUUUCCUGGGCCAUUAGCUCAGGUGGUUAGAGCGCACCCCUGAUAAGGGUGAGGUCCCUGGUUCAAGUCCAGGAUGGCCCAUCUCUCUAUGUUGGGGGUAUAGCUCAGUUGGUAGAGCGCCUGCUUUGCAAGCAGGAUGUCAGCGGUUCGAGUCCGCUUACCUCCACUGAUCACCACCUCUUCCAUAAUCUAUAAAAAGGAAAAAUUUUGAGUUGUGAUCAAAUUCUGAACGAUUCUAGCUUCCUAAUGAAAUUAUUAAGAUGCUGGAUUCAUUGAAUUAAAUUCAUUGUUUUCAGAGAACCUUGACAACUGCAUAGAUUAUUUUUAAAGACAAUAAGCAUCUUAAUGAUGCAGAUUUAUUAUUUGUGCAAAUGCAUUAAUAACAAUUCUAUUAAGCUGAUGCUUCAAUUUUUGAAGUUAUUGGUCAAGCUACAAAGGGCUCACGGAGGAUACCUAGGCACACAGAGGCGAUGAAGGACGUGGUUACCUGCGAUAAGUCUC